ACCCAGUUAGUUCAAUUGGUAGAACACUGAGUAAUUGUAGUUUUUUUACUUUAAAAUGCAGGUUCAAUUCCUGUACUGAGAA
rnacentral:tRNA from 1 species